GACGAACGCUGGCGGCGUGCUUAACACAUGCAAGUCGAACGGAAAGGCCCUGCUUUUGUGGGGUGCUCGAGUGGCGAACGGGUGAGUAACACGUGAGUAACCUGCCCUUGACUUUGGGAUAACUUCAGGAAACUGGGGCUAAUACCGGAUAGGAGCUCCUGCUGCAUGGUGGGGGUUGGAAAGUUUCGGCGGUUGGGGAUGGACUCGCGGCUUAUCAGCUUGUUGGUGGGGUAGUGGCUUACCAAGGCUUUGACGGGUAGCCGGCCUGAGAGGGUGACCGGCCACAUUGGGACUAAGAUACGGCCCAGACUCCUACGGGAGGCAGCAGUGGGGAAUAUUGCACAAUGGGCGGAAGCCUGAUACAGCAACGCCGCGUGCGGGAUGACGGCCUUCGGGUUGUAAACCGCUUUCGCCUGUGACGAAGCGUGAGUGACGGUAAUGGGUAAAGAAGCACCGGCUAACUACGUG
rnacentral:rRNA from 1 species